GACGAACGCUGGCGGCGUGCUUAACACAUGCAAGUCGAACGGAAAGGCACUGCUUUUGUGGGGUGCUCGAGUGGCGAACGGGUGAGUAACACGUGAGUAACCUGCCCUUGACUUUGGGAUAACUUCAGGAAACUGGGGCUAAUACCGGAUAGGAGCUCCUGCUGCAUGGAGGGGGGUGGAAAGUUUCGGCGGUUGGGGAUGGACUAGCGGCUUAUCAGCUUGUUGGUGGGGGAGGGGCUUACCAAGGCUUUGACGGGUAGCCGGCCUGAGAGGGUGACCGGCCUCCUGGGUACUGAGAUACGGCCCAGUCUCCAACGGGAGGCAGCAGUGGGGAAUAUUGCACAAUGGGCGGAAGCCUGAUGCAGCAACGCCGCGUGCGGGAUGACGGCCUUCGGGUUGUAAACCGCUUUCGCCUGUGACGAAGCGUGAGUGACGGUAAUGGGUAAAGAAGCACCGGCUAACUACGUG
rnacentral:rRNA from 1 species